rnacentral:rRNA from 1 species
GACGAACGCUGGCGGCGUGCUUAACACAUGCAAGUCGAACGGUGAAGCGCCUUCCUUUUUGGUGGGUGUGGAUGAGUGGCGAACGGGUGAGUAACACGUGAGUAACCUGCCCCCUUCUUCUGGAUAACCGCAUGAAAGUGUGGCUAAUACGGGAUAUUCUGGGUCUGUCGCAUGAUGGGUCUGGGAAAGAUAUUGUUUCGGUGGGGGAUGGGCUCGCGGCCUAUCAGCUUGUUGGUGGGGUGAUGGCCUACCAAGGCGGUGACGGGUAGCCGGCCUGAGAGGGUGGACGGUCACACUGGGAAGGAGACACGGCCCAGACUCCUACGGGAGGCAGCAGUGGGGAAUAUUGCACAAUGGGCGCAAGCCUGAUGCAGCGACGCCGCGUGAGGGAUGGAGGCCUUCGGGUUGUGAACCUCUUUCGCCAGUGAAGCAGGCCUGCCUCGUUUGUGGGUGGGUUGACGGUAGCUGGAUAAGAAGCGCCGGCUAACUACGUG